rnacentral:rRNA from 1 species
AACGAACGCUGGCGGCAGGCCUAACACAUGCAAGUCGAGCGAGGACUUCGGUCCUAGCGGCGGACGGGUGAGUAACGCGUGGGAACGUGCCCUUUGCUUCGGAAUAGCCCUGGGAAACUGGGAGUAAUACCGGAUGAGCCCUUUGGGGGAAAGAUUUAUCGGCGAAGGAUCGGCCCGCGUUGGAUUAGGUAGUUGGUGGGGUAAUGGCCUACCAAGCCGGCGAUCCGUAGCUGGUUGGAGAGGAUGAUCAGCGACACUGGGACUGGGACACGGCCCAGACGCCACGGGGGGGCGGGGUGGGGGAAACUAGACAAUGGGGGAAACCCUGAUCUAGCCAUGCCGCGUGAGCGAUGAAGGCCUUAGGGUUGUAAAGCUCUUUCAGCUGGGAAGAUAAUGACGGUACCAGCAGAAGAAGCCCCGGCUAACUCCGUG